rnacentral:rRNA from 1 species
AACGAACGCUGGCGGCAUGCCUAACACAUGCAAGUCGAACGAGACCUUCGGGUCUAGUGGCGCACGGGUGCGUAACGCGUGGGAAUCUGCCCUUGGGUUCGGAAUAACUCGCCGAAAGGCGUGCUAAUACCGGAUAUUAUGGUUUCUUCGCAUGGGGGAAUCAUGAAAGCUACAUGCGCUAAGAGAGAGCUUUGCGUCCCAUUAGCCCGUUGGUGAGGUAACGGCCCACCAAGGCAAUGAUGGGUAGCCGGCCUGAGAGGGUGAACGGCCACAAGGGGACUGAGACACGGCCCUU